GAUGAACGCUGGCGGCGUGCCUAAUACAUGCAAGUCGAGCGAACAGAUGAGGAGCUUGCUCCUCUGACGUUAGCGGCGGACGGGAGAGUAACACGUGGAUAACCUACCUAUAAGACUGGGAUAACUUCGGGAAACCGGAGCUUAUACCGGAGAAGAUAUUGAACCGCAUGGUUCAUUAGUGAGAGACGGUGUUGCUGUCACUUAUAGAUGGAUCCGCGCCGCAUUAGCUAGUUGUUAAGUUAACGGGCUACCAAGGCAACGAUGCGUAGACGACCGCAGAGACGGGUAGCCCACCCUGGAGCGGGGCCACGGACAAGACUCCUGCGAGAGGCAGCAGUAGGGUAUCGUCCGCAGUGGGCGAAAACCUGACGGAGCAACGCCACGUGAGAGAUGAAGGUCUUCGGAGCGUAAAACUCUGUUAUUAGGGAAGAACAAAUGUGUAAGUAAAUAUGCACGUCUUGACGGUAACUAAUCAGGAAGCAACGGCUAACUACGUG
rnacentral:rRNA from 1 species